rnacentral:rRNA from 1 species
GACGAACGCUGGCGGCGUGCUUAACACAUGCAAGUCGAACGAAGUGGCGAACGGGUGAGUAAUACGUGAGUAACCUGCCCUCCUUUUUGGGAUAAGCCUUGGAAACGGGGUCUAAUACCGAAUAAAGGGGGAUGGGCUAGCGGCCUAUCAGCUUGUUGGGGGGGUGAUGGCCUACCAAGGCGGCGACGGGUAGCCGGCCUGAGAGGGUGACCGUCAACAUUGGGACUGAGAUACGGCCCAGAGUCCUACGGGAGGCAGCAGUGGGGGAUAUUGCACAAUGGGCGAAAGCCUGAUGCAGCGAUACCGCGUAGGGGAUGAAGGCUUGCGGGUUGUAGAACACUAUCGAGAGCGAUUGGGUAGGUGGAGAAGAAGCGCCUGCUAACUACGUGCCAGCAGCCGCGGUAAUUC